CUGAUACUUGGACCUGUGAGAAUUUUCUUCUUGGGCAUCUUGAAGUCUUCCUGGUUUCUAUUUGCUUCUGCAGGAAGAAUUUUCAAACCUGCUCCUCCAUCAAGGGAAGACUCAGUCCCAGAGGUGAAGCAGCUUGGUUACAUUCUCUCUGUCACAGAAAUAAAACAUCUGGGAUGGAAAUCAAAAAAUCAUCUAUCCUCUUCCUUCUUCCAAAUCCCAAGUCAUUCAAACCAGUUUCUUCAGGCCAUGAAUCUUUUAACUUCCAGAGUAAAUCCUCAUUAAUGACAGAGGAAGAAGACCUGGUUGAACAAGAUAUUAUUCCCUUGCUUUCUUUCUUCAUCUAAGACAGAUCUUUGUCUUAAACGCUGGAGAAAGGCUUUUCCCAAGGAACAAGCCUUACCUAUCUCAGCUUCCUAGGCUGUAGGUCUGUGGGGACCGUGUACACUUCCCAUCUUCUACAGUAGGUGGCACAUGCCAUCUCCAGCUGUGGUUCAGGUCCUUUAAGUGUGUGCUCAAAGAGACACUGCUUUCCAGUGGCCAGAUUCCUCAAGGUACCUCUCUGUUGACUUGGACAGGGACUUAAUUACAGUAAACUAAUCGACUGACUGAUUUUCAGGUUAAAAUUUUUGGGGAUGAAGUUGUCUUUGGCCAAGUGUUGGCGGCAAAUACCUUUUAGCUCAGCACUUGGGAGCAGAGGCAAGUGAAUCUCCGAGUUCGAGCUGGUAGAACUGAUCUAUAGAGUGAGUUCCAGGACAGCUACAGAGAGAAACCCUGACUCAACCAACCAACCAACCAACCAACCAACCAACCAACCACAGUGUCAUAGACCAAACCCAACCACCUGCUCCAGUGAAGCCCAGAGAAAUCCUCUAGACACAGUGAGCUUUGAGGGAAGUGGCAAGAUGGACUUACAGAAAUAUCCAAGGAUUAUAGUUUUUUUUCUUGAGGGCCUUAAAUUGUUAUGAAGCUGAGAAUGACCUUGAACUUCUGACCCUCCAGUCUUCACUUCCCAAGUGUCGGGUUAGACGUGUGCUAAUAUACCAUGUUUACAGUGUGCUGCAGAUGAAACCCAGGGGUUUGUGCAGCUAGGCAAGCACCCUUUAUAGUAUGCAUGUCAGCCCAUCUGGACUCCCUGAAUACUUGCUCCCAUUUGAAAAAAUCUCCAGCCUGCUGAGGCUGGUCUGGAUGUCAGGUUGAGAGAUGGAAACAUGUGCAGAGAUUGCAACUUCCUUUGGAGAGCCAUCUUGAUUUGGGGGAACAUUGAUAAAGACAUUAAGAGUAAGAUGGGGUGUGUAUGAGAUGCUAAGAAGUGAAGGUUCUGAUAAAGAUCGGCACCCUGAUUUGUGAGUGGCCCACAGGAAGCUCAGGAAGACCCAAAGACAUUGAGGACUGGUCGCCAGGAUCAAGACCCAUCCUGUGGCAGAAAUACCCACAGCAUUCCUGACAUGAGGAUAAGAAUUUACCCAAGCACACGGGCUGCCAUGGCUGUCACUGGACUAGGAUGCCAAGGUCCUCCAGGUAGGAGGGGGAUAUGCUUCUAUUCAUGUCUUUUUAUGUGUGUGUGGACAUGUGUGGUAUAUGAGUAUGUAUGUGCACACUCAUGUUAGGGCUUAAUGCGUGCAUCUGUGCAUAUCCCUGUGAAGGCCAGAGGUAUGUGUACCUUAUUUUUUGAGACAGGGUUUUCCACUGUACCCAGAACUCACUGAUUUAGCUAGAUGGACUGACUGGCGAGCUCCAGGGUGUCCUGUCUCUGCUUUCCCAGUGCUCGGAUUACAGAUGUGAGCCUGCAUCCCCAGCUUUUCACUUAGGUUCUAGGGGUCUAAAUUCAGGUCCUCAUGCAUAUAUGGCAUGUGCUUUAUCAACUGAGCCAUCUCUCCAGCUUUCUUCUCCAUAUCCUUUUUAUCCUUUUUUUAUCUUAAUCUUGAGAUAUAUUUUUCUGGAACUUAACAUUUCAUGAAAUCUGGUCUUGGUAGU
rnacentral:lncRNA from 1 species